rnacentral:rRNA from 1 species
CCAGAGAACUUAGCAGAGAUGCUUUGGUGCCUUCGGGAACUCUGAGACAGGUGCUGCAUGGCUGUCGUCAGCUCGUGUUGUGAAAUGUUGGGUUAAGUCCCGCAACGAGCGCAACCCUUUAUCCUUUGUUGCCAGCGGUCCGGCCGGGAACUCAAAGGAGACUGCCAGUGAUAAACUGGAGGAAGGUGGGGAUGACGUCAAGUCAUCAUGGCCCUUACGAGUAGGGCUACACACGUGCUACAAUGGCGCAUACAAAGAGAAGCGACCUCGCGAGAGCAAGCGGACCUCAUAAAGUGCGUCGUAGUCCGGAUUGGAGUCUGCAACUCGACUCCAUGAAGUCGGAAUCGCUAGUAAUCGUAGAUCAGAAUGCUACGGUGAAUACGUUCCCGGGCCUUGUACACACCGCCCGUCACACCAUGGGAGUGGGUUGCAAAAGAAGUAGGUAGCUUAACCUUCGGGAGGGCGCUUACCACUUUGUGAUUCAUGACUGGGGUGAAGUCGUAACAAGGUAAGCGUACGUGU